AUGAAACUACAGAAUAGAGGAAUGGAAGUGGAUACAAGAUGUCCAGUAUGCCAUCGAAUGGAUGAAGAUGGAGGUCAUUGUUUCCUAAAGUGCAAAUUUGUCAAGGCCGUUUGGAGAACUGCAUUGUUGGAAGAAAGUCGGAUGCAACUUCUCAAUUGCCCAAAUGCCAUCUCGAUGGUGGAGGAUAUCUUGCACAUGGAAAAGGAAAAAUGUCUGAAAGUAUGCAUCCUUUUGUGGUUAUGGUGGUCUGAAAGAAACAGAGCUAAUCAAGGAGAAAGGAUUAGGACUGAAGAGGAAAUUAUAUAUUCAGUUCAGCUGCACUUGUUGGAAUACAAAAAAUACAUCAAGCGACACGAGCAAAAUGUGCAGGCUGUAAACCAGUUGCAGGAGCAGGGAGUUUGGAAAAUGUUGCUGAACCACUACAAGCUGAAGCUCUGGACAUGCUCUAUGCUGUGA
rnacentral:rRNA from 1 species